UACGAAGGGGGCUAGCGUUGCUCGGAAUCACUGGGCGUAAAGGGUGCGUAGGCGGGUCUUUAAGUCGGGGGUGAAAUCCUGGAGCUCAACUCCAGAACUGCCUUUGAUACUGGCGAUCUUGAGUCCGGGAGAGGUGAGUGGAACUGCGAGUGUAGAGGUGAAAUUCGUAGAUAUUCGCAAGAACACCAGUGGCGAAGGCGGCUCACUGGCCCGGUACUGACGCUGAGGUGCGAAAGCGUGGGGAGCAAACAGG
rnacentral:rRNA from 1 species